rnacentral:rRNA from 1 species
GUGCCAGCCGCCGCGGUAAUACGUAUGGUGCAAGCGUUAUCCGGAUUUACUGGGUGUAAAGGGAGCGCAGGCGGUCUGGCAAGUCUGAUGUGAAAGCCCGGGGCUCAACUCCGGGAUUGCAUUGGAAACUGUCAGACUAGAGUGUCGGAGAGGUAAGUGGAAUUCCUAGUGUAGCGGUGAAAUGCGUAGAUAUUAGGAGGAACACCAGUGGCGAAGGCGGCUUACUGGACGAUAACUGACGCUGAGGCUCGAAAGCGUGGGGAGCAAACAGGAUUAGAUACCCGUGUAGUCC